rnacentral:sRNA from 1 species
CUCACGGAUUCGUUAGAGAAAUCAUAUUGCUGCCCAAUUUCGGUCAGGCCCCCGCCCUGCUGACAGUUAGAAUGCCUAUAGUUGCCUCAGGCCCGGUCUCGCGAGAGCACCGGAUUCCUCAGCCCCCCAGCCCCCCGGGGCUUGAGCGGACCGGGCCAGUUGUUUCGUAAGGUUCAAUCCCCCAACGCUUCAAGGCCGGCUUAACCGCCGGCCUUUUU